rnacentral:rRNA from 1 species
GUCCUAGCUGUAAACGAUGAUAACUAGGUGUGGGAGGUAUCGACCCCUUCCGCGCCGCAGCUAACGCAUUAAGUUAUCCGCCUGGGGAGUACGGCCGCAAGGUUAAAACUCAAAGGAAUUGACGGGGGCCCGCACAAGCGGUGGAGCAUGUGGUUUAAUUCGACGCUACGCGAAGAACCUUACCUGGGCUCGAACGACUGGUAGUAGUCCCGAUGAAAGUUGGGGCGACCCGCAAGGGAGCCAGCCGAGGUGCUGCAUGGCUGUCGU